CACUAUGCUACACUUUAUCGCUAAACUUAAUUGCUACUUUUUUUUAAAAAAAAAAAAUUCACUUCACUUAAUCAUCUUCUUCUCUGACUUCUGCCUUUUUCUCCACACUUUCCUCGCUUUCACUUGCAGAGCGUUUCAAUAAAAACCUGUCCAAGGAGGUUUGUUUCUUCCUCCCUUUCAAAAUGUUUGGAAAAUGAGUGAUGAGUGAUGAAGUGUCUUUACACAGCGCCAACGCACGACCUGGAGAGAUAACCACGUGAACUGACCACUCGCUGGGCGACCGAGUGGCGGCUCGUAUCUCGGAAAACUCUGGAUCAUUCUGAAUUCCCCAAACUUCCAGACUCUGGAUCCUGAAUUUGCCCCUGCAGAGGAUCGGACUGUCAAAAGUGUCGCAGUAUCCAGACUGUCCUGCUGUCAGACCUGCUGUGAGACACAGAGCAUGUCCCCCGUCUCCACC